AGUAGUAGUAGUAGUAGUAGUAGUAGUAGUAGUAGUAGGAGUAGUAGUAGUAGUAGUAGUAGUAGUAGUAGUAGUAGUAGUAGUAGUAUAGUAGUAGUAGUAGUAGUAGUAGUAGUAGUAGUAGUAGUAGUAGUAGUAGUAGUAGUGGUAGUAGUAGUAGGAGUAGUAGUAGUAGUAGUAGUAGUAGUAGUGGUAGUAGUAGUAGUAUAGUAGUAGUAGUAGUAGGAGUAGUAGUGGUAGUAGUAGUAGUAGUAGUAGUAGGAGUAGUAGUGGUAGUAGUAGUAGUAGGAGUAGUAGUGGUAAUAGGAGUAGGAGUAGUAGUGGUAGUAGUGGUAGUAGUAGUGGUAGUAGUAGUAGUAGUAGUAGUAGUGGUGGUAGUAGUAGUAGUAGUAGUAGUAGUAGUAGUAGGAGUAGUAGUGGUAGUAGGAGUAGUAGUGGUAGUAGUAGUAGUAGGAGUAGUAGUGGUAGAGGGAGUGGUAGUAGUAGUAGCAGUAGCAGGAGUAGUAGCAGUAGUAGUAGGAGUAGUAGUGGUAGUAGUAGUAGUAGUAGUAGUAGGAGUAGUAG
ensembl:lncRNA